rnacentral:rRNA from 1 species
CAGCCGCGGUAAUUCCAGCUCCAAUAGCGUAUAUUAAAGUUGUUGCAGUUAAAAAGCUCGUAGUUGAACCUUGGGUCUGGCUGGCCGGUCCGCCUCACCGCGAGUACUGGUCCGGCUGGACCUUUCCUUCUGGGGAACCUCAUGGCCUUCACUGGCUGUGGGGGGAACCAGGACUUUUACUGUGAAAAAAUUAGAGUGUUCAAAGCAGGCCUUUGCUCGAAUACAUUAGCAUGGAAUAAUAGAAUAGGACGUGCGGUUCUAUUUUGUUGGUUUCUAGGACCGCCGUAAUGAUUAAUAGGGAUAGUCGGGGGCGUCAGUAUUCAGCUGUCAGAGGUGAAAUCAUGAUGUUGUCCA